rnacentral:rRNA from 1 species
GCUAAACGCGAAGAACCUUACCUACUCUUGACAUCCAGAGAACUUAGCAGAGAUGCUUUGGUGCCUUCGGGAACUCUGAGACAGGUGCUGCAUGGCUGUCGUCAGCUCGUGUUGUGAGAUGUUGGGCUAAGUCCCGUAACGAGCGCAACCCUUGUCCUUAGUUACCAGCACGUUAUGGUGGGCACUCUAAGGAGACUGCCGGUGACAAACCGGAGGAAGGUGGGGAUGACGCCAAGUCAUCAUGGCCCUUACGGCCUGGGCUACACACGUGCUACAAUGGUCGGUACAGAGGGUUGCCAAGCCGUGAGGUGGAGCUAAUCUCACAAAACCGAUCGUAGUCCGGAUCGCAGUCUGCAACUCGACUGCGUGAAGUCGGAAUCGCUAGUAAUCGCGAAUCAGAAUGUCGCGGUGAAUACGUUCCCGGGUCUUGUACACACCG